rfam:Candidatus Nasuia deltocephalinicola str. NAS-ALF, complete genome.
ACUUGGGUAGCUUAAUGGUAAAGCGUAACUUUGCCAAAGUUGAGAUUGCGAGUUCAAAUCUCGUCCCUUGUA